rnacentral:rRNA from 1 species
UCCUACGGGACGCAGCAGUGAGGAAUAUUGGUCAAUGGGCGAGAGCCUGAACCAGCCAAGUCGCGUGAGGGAUGACUGCCCUAUGGGUUGUAAACCUCUUUUGUAUGGGGGGAAUAAGCUUUACGAGUAGAGUGAUGACAGUACCAUACGAAUAAGCAUCGGCUAACUCCGUGCCAGCAGCCGCGGUAAUACGGAGGAUGCGAGCGUUAUCCGGAUUUAUUGGGCGUAAAGCGAGCGCGGGUGGUUUAUUAAGUCUG